UACGUAGGGGGCAAGCGUUGUCCGGAUUUAUUGGGCGUAAAGAGCGUGUAGGCGGCCAUACAGGUCAGCUGUGAAAACUCGAGGCUCAACCUCGAGACGUCGGUUGAAACCGUAUGGCUAGAGUCCGGAAGAGGAGAGUGGAAUUCCCGGUGUAGCGGUGAAAUGCGCAGAUAUCGGGAAGAACACCCGUGGCGAAGGCGGCGUCCUGGCCUGCGACUGACGCUGGUGGCGCGAAAGCUAGGGAGCGAACGGG
rnacentral:rRNA from 1 species